rnacentral:rRNA from 1 species
UUUCGAAUCAUUCACAAUGGGCGAAAGCCUGAUGGUGCGACGCCGCGUGAGGGAUGAAGGCCUUCGGGUUGUAAACCUCUGUCACCGGGGAAGAAACGCUUCAAGUUAAUAGUUUGAAGCCUGACUUAACCCGGAGAGGAAGCAGUGGCUAACUCUGUGCCAGCAGCCGCGGUAAUACAGAGACUGCAAGCGUUAUUCGGAUUCACUGGGCGUAAAGGGUGCGCAGGCGGCCGUGUGUGUGAGGCGUGAAAGCCCGAUGCUUAACAUCGGAAUUGCACCUCAAACUACAUGGCUAGAGCAUUGGAGAGGGUAGCAGAAUUCACGGUGUAGCAGUGAAAUGCGUAGAUAUCGUGAGGAAUACCAGAGGCGAAGGCGGCUACCUGGACAAUUGCUGACGCUCAGGCACGAAAGCGUGGGGAGCAAAAG